CUCUGGGUCGUCUAGUUGGUUAUGGCGUUGGACUGUAAUGGUUUCGAGCUUCAAGCAAUCCAAAUGUCAGCGGUUCGAAUCCGCUCCCGGAGA
rfam:Escovopsis weberi scaffold00007, whole genome shotgun sequence.